rnacentral:RNase_P_RNA from 1 species
CGCCGGGACUUUUCGAGGUUUCGGUAAGGGUGAAACGGUGGUGUAAGAGACCACCAGCGGCCCGUGUGAUCGGGUCGGCUGCGUAAACCUCGCCCGGAGCAAGGUCGAACAGGGAGCGUUACGGGCGGCUCGUCCAGUUUCCGGGUAGACCGCUAGAGGUGUGCGGCAACGUACAUCGUAGAUAGAUGGCCGUCGAUGAUACAUCCUCGGAUGUGUCGGGACAGAACCCGGCGUAAUAGCCGGCCCAUUCA